rnacentral:lncRNA from 1 species
ACCAACAACACACUUAUUCUUCUUCAUCUUCAUCUUCUUCACCUAAUUGUCACAUUACUCGUACCCAUUCACAUUCUCAUCCAUUUCCAGAACCGAUAACGACGGCAAGUCGAAGACCUCCGUGUUCCUCCCAUUGGUCACUCCCAACUAAUGCCUCUAAGGUAUUCUUUUUAUUCAUCUUCAAUUUACAAUAUUUACAACUGCAAUGUUCUUUAAGAAUUAGUUGAAUAUUGCUUUAGUUAGUUAGAGUUAGUUAUGAUCAGUUGAAAAUCGGUUAGGAUUUGUUAUAUAUAAUUUAAGCCUGUAACUAACUUGUAACUAAUUCUAAACAAUUCCAGCGGCGGAUGUGUUUUUGUUGAUUUUUAGGAAUGAGAGUGGCUUAGGGUUACUUUGCAUAAAUGGUUGGAUGAUGAAUACUGUCCUGAAGAAACCAAUGUGGAGAUAAGCAGAGUUGCUGCCAAAUCCUAUUACAAUUCUUUGAUACGGAAACAAAACUGAUUUGAGUGACAUUUUGUUGAACAUGGCGCAUGAAUUGGAGUCUAUUUCUUAUAAGGAAAGUUUUCAUGGCGCGUUCUCGUCUGCAAAUGCUGCUGUUAGCCUUAUUGCUCAACGGGUCGAAACAUUCUGCCACCACAAUUGAAUUUUAUAGCUCUAAAAUCCACAUGGUUUGAUUUUUUUUCAAUGUUAGUAGGAUUGAGUUAACUUCUUCUAUUGUAUAGUAAUGUCUUGUAACUUGUUUCUUUGUUAUAGAGCUGCAUGACUCCUCUUUGAUGGCUCUUUCUUGUAGCCGAUUGAGUGUUUGAAACCUUGUGACUUGUGAAUUUUAUGCCAUAUGGUCUUUAUUUCAGUUUCCUUUUCUGUGCUAGCUGAAAAAUGAAAUGGAUCUCAUGAAGCAGUGUGUAUAGUCAUGUUAUAUUUGCACUGAAAUUAAAUAAGCUGGUAUGUAUAUAAAAACUAUCGAUACAGUGGAGUUUAUUGUUAUCAUUCUGCUUUAGGUUGUUGUCGAGUAACAGAUUUCCUUUUCGGUAUGAUCAUAUUCAAAGAAGUUUCAUGUAACUGGUGGUCAACCUACAACUCCUGUCUGUAAUUGAAUGUAUUCAAGAACUAGCAUUCAGCUAUCAAACCAAAAUGGUCUCUCAGAGACUUUAAGAAGAGAAAGUUAACCAACUCAUACCUUGAAUGGAACUUUCUUAUGAAUGAAUGAAUUCCUUAAAACAUUAGCAAAGUAUUGUUUAUGAAUAAUCACUGAUUAAGACACUUAAUUAUGCGAUGAAAGGUCCUACAUGGACCCUGAGAAUUAAAGCUUUGGUCAUCUAUUCAAACUUGAUUGUCACUAUUAGCAUCAUUUUAUAUACUAAAGUCAAAAGGUUGAUAUGAUCAUAUAAGGGUUCAUAUUCUUGUAUAUCAAUAAAGUAAAACCCCACAUAAGUUCAAGUUCAAGAAUAAGCUGUUUUUAUAAGCUAUGCAUUCCCCAAUAAGCUCUUUCAAUCGUCCCCUUACUAAACAAGAUAUAAAAAUUGAAAGGCGAAUGUGUUCAUGGUUGCUUUUCACCAUUGUUAUAUUUUCUUAACAUGCCUUGAACAAACUUCUACUGCACUUGAUCUGGUGCAGGAAACUCCAAACUCUUAAAAGAUGUCAAACCUCCAUCCACAACUAAAUUAUGUCCACUAACAUACCUAGAUCAUCGGAUGCAAGGUAAAGUGCAGCGUUAGCACAUCACUCGGUUCACAAUUUGCUCCAUUUAGUACACAACAUUACGAACAAUUUCUACAAGUCGUCGAGACUCAAGAUGCGGAUAUAUCUGAUUCAUUUCGUCCAUGACAAAAGAAGUAGGUAUGGCACAUAGGCGAUAUGCAAUUGACUCGGAUUCCAUGCCUACAUAGCUUCUGAAGAGCUAAAGACUUAAACAAUGCCUAUAACCGCAACUUCGAUACCGAGUAAGUAUGCUGCGCCUAUCCUCCCAUCACACCAGUGACACUAGCAGUGCUGUAANAUAUAUAUAUAUAUAUAUAUAUAUAUAUAUAUAUAUAUACACACACACACACACACACACAUGUAGUAACUAACUAACUAACUAAGUUUGAAUUAAUACAACCGAAAGAAUAUGGGAUUUUGAAAAUUAUGAAGGAUUGAGUGAAAAGAAUGAAAAUAUUUUGGUUAGAAGGAUUUUGGAGGAUUUAUUUUUAUUCAUAACAUUGAAAAUCGUCUAAUUUAGAGAAACUCAAAAUUUGUAUUGGAGAAGGAUUUUAGAGGACUUAAACAAAUUGUUCAAAUAUAAUUUUUGUUGUUAUACUAUUUCAAAACAUUCAUUUUUUAGGGAGACUUCUACAAUGUUCACUACUAUCAUAUCAUAUUGAGGAGUGAGACUUCGAAGUACCUUUUCAACCUUCAUUUUCUCUGUCAAAGUCUCUCCAUAAUUCUUCAUCUGGUUGGUUAAGUCUUAAACCCUUGUGAAGAAAUCUGAUAGCGGUUCGCCCUCUUUCAUAUGCAGCAUUUCAUACUACUUUUUCAAAGACUGAAGGCACACCUUCUUGACCUUUACAUCUCCACCGUAGUAUUUUUUCGAUAAGUCUCAUGCUUCUUUCGAAGUUGCAACAUGAUCUAUUUUGUCAGACACUUUCGCUUCAACACAUUGAAGAAUAUAAAAUAGGGCCUUAUGGUCUUUCUUCUUGGAUUCCUUAUAUGUUGCCUUCUGAGCAUCUGUCGCAUUUUCUACUAGUGGUUGAAGCCCAUCUGCUACAUACUUAGACACAUCUUGAACAUUGAAGAUAACUCUCAUCUAAAUGCAUCAUUUUUCUCAAUUCUUGUCAUAAAGAACUGGAAGAUUUGCAGGGAAGUUAUUGUCGCCUAUUCCAACCAUAGCUACAAUCACUAUUGAAUCCGAAUCAGAACCGGUCUCGUGAUAUCAUAUGUUGGUGUUAUUACACCUUGUGAAUGCAAAUGUUAAUUGAGAGAAAGAUAGAGGAAGUAUUGUAGUGGAAGAGAAGAAGAAAGGGAGUAAUGAAUAUUGAAUAAGAGAAGUGAAGUUAGGAAGUGAUUACAAAGCUACAUAAGUAAUUAGUAUAUAUACACACAUGUAGUAACUAACUAAUUAACUAAGUUUGAAUUAAUACACAGAAACGAGAUUGGGAUUUUGAAAAUUACGAAGGAAUUGAGUGAAAAGAAUGAAAGUAUUUUGGACGAUUUAUUUUUAUUCAUAACAUUGAAAAUCAUCUAAUUUAGAGAAACUCAAAAUUUGUAUUGGAGAAGGAUUUUAGAGGACUUAAACAAAUUGUUCAAAUAUAAUUUUUGUUGUUAUACUAUUUCAAAAAUUAAAAAUACGUUAAUGAUAAAUAUUAUUUUAUUAUUUUGAAUAAAUAAAAUUUCAAAAAAUAUUAAAUAUUUUUUAUAUAUUUAAAAACAACAUUUUUCCAAGUCCUCCAUUUCCCCUCUAAAAGUGUAACAAGAUUAAAAUCUAAAAAAUUGUAACAAUUAAAACAAAAUUAAUUUUUUUUUAGUCUAACAGUUUAAAACACACAAAUUAUAGUUCAAAAAGUGAAUUAGUGGGAUGACAAACUCAUAACUCUAUAGUCAUGUUUUUACACAGUGACCAAUUGAGCUCAUUUUACAAGAAAUAAAAAUUAAUUGGGCAGGGUAGUUUAGCAGAUAUAAAUUGCUGCUAUAUAGUUCAUAAACAAAUUCUAGUUGAAAUUUAUAAAUUAACAAUUUAAAAAAAUAUAUUUUCUAAAAAAAUAAAUCAGAAUUAUUGCAUUGACCUUGGACCAGACCUCAUCCAGAUUUUUUUUACAAAGAAUAUAAUGAAUGGUUCAUAUUGAAUAGUCUCGGUGCAUCACUUUGCAGUUUUCUUAUAGCGAAGAAUAGAAUACAACAAUCACUAUGAUAAUGAUGCAAAGCUUAAAACUGAAUCUAGUUCAUUCCACAACUCUAUGCCCCCGCAGCAUCACUUGUAUCACCCCAUUCUCACCAUCCUCCUCCAUUACUGUAACACAAACUCACCACCACCAACAACACACUUAUUCUUCUUCAUCUUCAUCUUCUUCACCUAAAAUUGUUCACAUUACUCGUACCCAUUCACAUUCUCAUCCAUUUCCAGAACCCGAUAACGACCAAGUCGAAGACCUCCGUGUUCCUCCCCAUUGGUCACUCCCAACUAAUGCCUCUAAGGUACUCUUCUUUUUAUUCAUCUUCAAUUUUACAAUAUUUACAACUGCAAUGUUCUUUAAGAAUUAGUUGAAUAUUGCUUUAGUUAGUUAGAGUUAGUUAUGAUCAGUUGAAAAUCG